rnacentral:rRNA from 1 species
CAGUCGCCACGGUAAUACAGAGGGUGCAAGCGUUAAUCGGAAUUACUGGGCGUAAAGCGCGCGUAGGUGGUUCGCCAAGUCAGAUGUGAAAUCCCCGGGCUUAACCUGGGAACUGCAUUUGAAACUGUCAGGCUGGAGUCUUGUAGAGGGGGGUGGAAUUCCAGGUGUAGCGGUGAAAUGCGUAGAGAUCUGGAGGAAUACCGGUGGCGAAGGCGGCCCCCUGGACAAAGACUGACGCUCAGGUGCGAAAGCGUGGGGAGCAAACAGGAUUAGAUACCCCGGUAGUCCCUGUCUCUUAUAA